CUUUUCGUAGCUGACUUUCAUAUCGAAUAAUUUAUUUAUCUAAAAACAAUGAAGUUCAAAAAAUCAUUGUAUCAUUAUGUGUCAUAAAAAUUUAGUGGGAUUGCACCUAGUAUAAGUAUAACGUAGAUGAAAUGAAAUUUAUUCAGUUCAUACUUUCCUGUAUGUGACAACACACUGACUUGGGAACAUCCGAAUACUAUUUGACAUUUCCUGCAUUUUGCGGCGAUCACUGGAGGUUUUGCGACAAAUAUUGUCCAAAAAGUAGAUCAUGAUAUUUAAGAAAUUAUAGAAUUAUUUUGUCUAGUAUGAUCUUACAGCCAUGGUUUCUCUGAUUUUCUUCACCUAUAACCUGAUGUGAAAAUUUAAAAAUAGCAAAAUGAAUCUGGACACCUACUGCAAAGAAUUAUUAUGUAUAAUAGGAGCAGCAAUUUUGUAUCACCAAGAGCCCCUAAAAUAGUUAUUGCAAAGUUUCAUAUUGCUAUUCUACUAGCGGCAUGUAUUAACCCUCGCCAUUCUAACUAGACAUUGCUGAGUAUUUUGCAUCUUGUACAAUCAAACUGAUGUUUCUUCUCAUAUAUAAGUAAUGAAUUUACUGUAGAUGGUAAACAUGGGGUAUAGACGAUAUUUCAACACUAAAUUGAGCUCUUUGGUUGUUUAGUAUUUAGAAAUAUGACAUGAUAUAAGAUUAAAUACAACCGAUUACAUUUUAUACUUCUGAAAAAAUCCUAAAUUAUCAACAGGUUUGGGUUCAGAUCCUUAAUGAAAUUGAGAAUGGAAAUAUGGAAUGUGUCAAACAGACAACAACCCGAUCAUAGAGCAGAACAUCUCCUAGACCACCAAAUGGUCUUCAACACAGCGAGAGAAUCCAGCACCCAGUGUCGGAUUUCAACUGGCCUCUUUAUUAUCACUACAUGUAUAAAAUGAUUGAUAACAACAUUCAUUUUGAUUUGGGCAUGAUCAAAACUG
rnacentral:lncRNA from 1 species